AUGGUGUUGGCGUCCACCUCGGAAGACAGGAAAGGGGUGGUGGUGCGAGGCAUCAAGCGGCUGGAGGCGCCGGCGGAAGUGGGCAGCGGCGAGAAGAUGAGAUCGAUUUGGGCGCUGACUGCUACGAGCGUGCGAGAGGAUGAGAUAAGAAUAAUUACCAGCAACUAUGAAACUAUCAUUGGAAAAGGUGGCUUCGGAGAAGUUUACAAAGGUGUUCUCCAAGAUGGAAUAAUGGUUGCUGUCAAGAGAUUUAUCUGGAAUGUAGAAGAAAAUUUUGCCAAAGAGCUGAAAGUCCACUGUGAAAUCAACCACAAGAAUGUAGUUAGGCUCAUAGGCUAUUGUGCGGAGGAAAAUGCCCUAAUGAUAGUCAGUGAGUAUAUAUCCAAAGGGAACCUUAGCGAUGUUCUUCACCACGAAUGCAUUCCCAUUGCGCUGGAUACACGACUGCGGAUCGCGGUGGAGUGUUCAGAGGCACUAUGCUACAUGCAUUCACAAAUGUAUCCUCAGAUGAAGGUUCUUGAAGGAGUUGCAAAGCUAGCAGGACAAUGUUUGAAGAUGGAAAUGGAUAGACGACCUGAGAUGAGAGAUGUGGCAGAACGUCUUCGGGGGCUAAGGAAAACUCAAGUUCAAGGAAAACAAACUAUUUUUCCUUGGGGGUGGAGGAACAAGCCGGCAGCUCAAAACGACUUGCAAUCUUCUAGCUUAGUCAGGCCACAAUCUCUCCCAUCCAACUUGUGCCGCCAUUUCUCACUUGGAGAGAUGAAAUCUGCGACAAGUAACUUUGAUGAGUCACAUCUUGUUGGUCGGGAUGGAUUUGGUAAUGUUUACUAUGGAAUGAUUGAUGGGGGAGCAACUAAGGUGGCUAUCAAACGUGGCAUAGAUGAGAGUCAGUUCAAGACAGCGGUAGCGACAAUGGCAAAGCUCCGCCACCAUCAUCUCGUAUCAUUAGUCGGUUACUGCCAAGAGAAAAACCAGAGGAUACUGAUCUAUGACUACAUGGCUCGUGGCACCCUGAGUGGGAACCUUUACGCUAACAACACCAAGGAGCCACCACUUACUUGGAGGCAGCGUCUAGACAUCUGUAUCGGUGCUGCUCGUGCCCUGCACUACCUUCACGAGUGUUCCCUCAUCCAUAAUGACGUGUCAACGACGAACAUUCUCCUAGAUGAGAGAUUGGUCGGCAAGUUUUCAAGUGAAGUCUCACGGCCGUGGAAUGUCAUGGACCCAAUAAUGCCUAUUGGACAUUAUUGUGUCGAUCCUGAAUUUCACCGCACUGGGGAACUCACAGAGAAAUCCAAUGUAUAUUCUCUUGGUGUCGUGCUGUUUGAGGUUUUGUGUGCUCGGGCUGCGUGGGAUCCCAGUCUUCCAAGGAGGCAAGUAUACUUGGUACAAUGUGCCCGUAGUUGCCAGAAGAAGGGCAUCCUUGAUCUGAUUGUCGAUCCCUAUCUUGAAGGAAAGAUUGCCCCGUGGUGCUUCAAGAAGUUUGUGGAGAUUGCUGAGAAAUGUGUUAGUGAUCAUGCUAUCCACCGCCCUACAAUGCAAGAAGUGCUUGAGAACCUGGAGUUGUGUGUGUGCCUUGCAGAACAAAGCGGAAGCCUUGGUGAUGAGACACCAGACGACGUUGACACUGAUGGUCCAUCAAGGAGAGAAUAUCGGCUGAACCUUGAGAUGUACCUUGCAGAGGACGAUGAUUCCAGCUAUUGUAGUGAGAUGCCGAUAUCUGAAGAUGAUGGCAUAGAUGGGGAUGAGCAAAUUGCUGAUAGUAUGGAUUCCAAAUUGUCAAUUGAUUCCAACUUGUGCCACCAUUUCUCACUUAGAGAGAUGAAAUCCGCGACAAGAAACUUUGAUGAGUCGCACCUUGUUUGUGUGGGUGGAUCUCGUGACAUUUACUAUGGAGUGAUUGAUGGGGCAGCAACCAAGGUGUCCAAGUUAGCUUCACGAGGCAAAGUUUGUGUGGGUGGGUCUCAUGAAGUUUACUAUGGAAUGAUGGUGGCUAUCAAACGUGACAAAGCUGUGCAGGAUGCGAGCCAAGAUGAUGUAUCCAGGGUAUUAGUCAAAGCUAAUCGGUAUACCCAAUCUUUUCUACUUUACUUUCAUAAGAUGGACCUUCGAGAAAGUACGGUGACAAAAAUGCUCCAAGAGAAUGACAGAUCAAAGUGGUUAUCACAUAGCAACCAUAACAUAAAAUGCUUCACAGCGUAUGAGAUAGGAAGAAUUACCUGCAACUACAAAACUAUCAUUGGAAAAGGCAGCUUCGGAGAAGUUUACAAAGGUGUUCUCCAAGAUGGAAGAAUAGUUGCGGUCAAGAAAUUUAUGUGUAAUAUAGAAGAAAUUUUUGCCAAAGAGCUGAAAGUCCACUGUGAGAUCAACCACAAGAAUGUAGUUAGGCUGAUAGGCUACUGUGCCGAGGAAAAUGCUCUAAUGAUAGUCAGUGAGUACAUAUCUAAAGGGAACCUUAGCAAUGUUCUUCACCAUGAAUGCAUUCCCAUCACGUUGGAUACACGACUGCGGAUUGCAGUGGAGUGUUCAGAGGCACUUUGCUACAUGCAUUCACAAAUGUACACUCAGGUCAUUCAUGGUGAUAUCAAGCCUGCCAAUAUACUAUUGGAUGAAAACUUGAAUGCAAAAAUAUCUGACUUUGGAAUAUCAAGACUUGUCAACACAGACGCGACCCUUUCCACUGAGCAUGUAAUAGGGAGCAUAGGCUACAUGGACCCUUUGUUUGCUCGCAGCGGGCGUCUCACCUCGAAGAGUGAUGUUUACAGUUUCGGAAUUGUUCUGGUUGAAUUGAUUACAAAGAAAAAGGCAACAAUAAGAAAUGGAGAGAUCAGCAUAAUUGAAUGUUUCACCCAAGCUCUUGCAACAGGGAAGGGAAGGGUGAGAGAGCUGUUCGAUGUUGAAAUCUCAAGCCAGAACAACAUGAAGGUUCUUCAAGGGGUUGCAAAGCUAGCAGGAGAAUGUUUGAGGAUGGAGAUGGAUAGACGCCCAGAGAUGAUAGAUAUGGCAGGACGUCUUCGGGCGCUUAGGAAAACUCUAGUUCAAGGAAAACAAACACUAACUUUUUUUCCUUGGGGGUGGAGGAACAAGAUUGCAGCUCAAAACAACUUGCAAUCUUCCAGCACAGUCACGCAACAAUCUUUGCCAUCCAACUUGUGUCGCCAUUUCUCACUUUUGGAUAUCAAAUCCGCGACAAGAAACUUUGAUGGGUCACACCUUGUUUCCGUGAGUAGAUCUUAUAAAGUUUACUAUGGAUGGAUUGAUGGGGGAGCAACCAAGGUGGCCAUCAAACGUGGCAUAGUUGAGCAGGAUGUCAAUAAGUUCCAGACAGAGAUAGCGACGAUGGCAAAGCUCCGCCACCAUCAUCUCGUAUCACUGGUCGGUUACUGCAUAGAGGAAAACAAGAUGAUACUGAUAUACGACUACAUGGCUCGUGGCACCCUGUGUGGGAACCUUUACUAUAACACAAGUGUGGAGCCAUCACUUACUUGGAGGCAGCGUCUAGAUGUCUGCAUCGGUGUUGCUCAUGCCCUCCACUACCUUCACGAGUGUUCCAUCAUCCAUAAUGAGGUAUCCACGGUGAACAUUCUCCUAGAUGAGAGAUUGGUCGGCAAGGUUGUAAGCAAAGCCUCAUUAUGGCGGGCUUCCACAGUUAUGACCACAUGCUCCAUAGGAUAUGAUAGUUUUCUCGAUCCUGAAUUUCGCCGCACUCGGCAACUAACAGAGAAAUCCGAUGUAUAUUCUUUUGGUGUCGUGCUGUUUGAGGUUUUAUGUGGUCGGGCUGCUUGGGAUUAUGGUCUUCCAAGGAGACAGGCUCACUUGGUACAAUGCGCCCGUAUUUGCCAGAAGAAGGGCAUCCUUAAUCUUAUUGUUGAUCCCUGUCUUGUAGGAAAGAUUGCUCCCCAGUGCUUCAGGAAGUUUGUCAAGAUUGCUGAGAAAUGUGUUAGUGACUAUGGUAUUGAUCGUCCUUCAAUGAAAGAAGUGUUUCACAAACUGGAGAUUUGCCUUGUGGAACAAAGAAGAUGCCUUGGUGAUGUGAUGCCAGAUGACGUUAAAAUGGAUGGUCCUUCAAGGAGAGAACGCCGGCAGAUCCUGGAUAGGUACCUUGCAGAAGACGAUGAUUCCAGCUAUUGUAGCGAGAUAUCAACUUCUGAAGAUGAUGACAUGGAUGGGGAUGAGCAAGUCGCUGAUUGUAUGGAUUCCGAAUUGCCAAUUGAUUCCAACUUGUGCCGCCAUUUCUCACUUAGGCAGAUGAACUUUGCAACAAGAUACUUUGAUGAGUCACUCCUUGUUGGUGUGGGUGGAUCUGGCAAAGUUUAUUGUGGAGUUAUUGAUGAAGGAGCAACCAAGGUGGCUAUCAAACGUGGGAGAGUUGAGCAGAAUGCGAGUAAGUUCCAGACAGAGAUAGCGACGAUGGCAAAGCUCCGCCACCAUCAUCUGGUAUCACUGGUUGGUUACUGCAAAGAGGAGAAGGAGAUGAUAUUGAUCUAUGACUACAUGGCUCGUGGCACCCUGCGUGAGAAUCUUUAUGGUAACAACAACGAGCAGCCACCCCUUACUUGGAGGCAGCGUCUACACGUCUGCAUCGGUGCUGGUCGUGCCCUGCACUACCUUCACGAGCGUUCCUUCAUCCAGAAUGACGUGUCCACGGCGAGCAUUCUCCUAGAUUGGAGAUUGGUCGGCAAGGUUUCUAUUAAAGUCUCGCUGCCACAGGAUGCCACAGAUGUGACCACGUGCCAGCGCCCUAUGGGACGUUUUAGUUUUCUCGAUCCUGAAUCUUGCCGCACUGGGGAAGUAACAGAGAAAUCAAAUGUAUAUUCUUUUGGUGUCGUGCUGCUUGAGGUUUUGUGUGCUCGGGCUGCUUAUGAUCGCAAUCUUCCAUGGAGACAAGCUCACUUGGUGGAGUAUGCCCUUAGUUGCCAGAAGAAGGGCAUUCUUGAUCUGAUUGUUGAUCCCUUUCUUGAAGGAAAGAUUUCUCCAUGGUGCUUCAAGAAGUUUGUCGAGAUUGCUGAGAAAUGUGUUAGUGAUCGUGGUAUCGAUCGCCCUACAAUGCAAGAAGUGCUUCAGGAUCUUGAGAUGUGCCUUGGAGGACCUUCAGAUGUGCCUUGGUGA
rnacentral:rRNA from 1 species